GAGGCUUUAGUGGCGCAGCUAACGCGAUAAGUAGACCGCCUGGGGAGUACGGUCGCAAGACUAAAACUCAAAUGAAUUGACGGGGGCCCGCACAAGCGGUGGAGCAUGUGGUUUAAUUCGAUGCAACGCGAAGAACCUUACCUGGCCUUGACAUACUAGAAACUUUCCAGAGAUGGAUUGGUGCCUUCGGGAAUCUAGAUACAGGUGCUGCAUGGCUGUCGUCAGCUCGUGUCGUGAGAUGUUGGGUUAAGUCCCGCAACGAGCGCAACCCUUUUCCUUACUUGCCAGCAUUUCGGAUGGGAACUUUAAGGAUACUGCCAGUGACAAA
rnacentral:rRNA from 1 species